rnacentral:lncRNA from 1 species
UACAGGUUCUGCUUCUCUCAAUACAUCUGUAUAUGUGUUAUACAUUUAAAAAUUUUUUCUGCUUAUAACAAUUUCCAGUGUUAGAGGAUACUUUAUGGCAUGCCAUGGAUGAGGGAAACCACAUUGUUAAGGAAGAUACAUGGACUGUGAGCUCCAAAGAAGAUUGCUAGUCCCAGCAUCUUCUCCUAACUGGAGAUUGGCACUAUGAAUCCUUCGACUAAAUACUGCAUGGGAAAAAUAUUCAAUGAGAAAACUGGGAGUUGGCCUUCAAUGAUAUGGUAACCCAAGACUACAGUGAAACAAGUGACUGAAGAGAGGAAUUCAAAAACAGACCUGAAUAAAGAGAGUUCAGGCCCUUCCUAACUGUAUCCCUGGUUACUGUGCCAUUGUCAUUCCUGGGGUUUCUGAUGCCUGCAAUUAAAACACUCAUUUAGAGUACAGAUAGAGUGAGCUCAGAUUCCAGGUUAGUAUCCAAUGUCUGU